rnacentral:rRNA from 1 species
UACGUAGGGGGCAAGCGUUGUCCGGAUUUAUUGGGCGUAAAGAGCGUGUAGGCGGCCAAACAGGUCAGCUGUGAAAACUCGAGGCUCAACCUCGAGACGUCGGUUGAAACCGUUGGUGCUAGAGUCCGGAAGAGGAGAGUGGAAUUCCCGGUGUAGCGGUGAAAUGCGCAGAUAUCGGGAAGAACACCCGUGGCGAAGGCGGCUCUCUGGGACGGUACUGACGCUGAGACGCGAAAGCGUGGGGAGCGAACAGG